rnacentral:tRNA from 1 species
GCCCUGGUGGCACAAUAGUUAAGUGCUCGGCUGCUGACCGAAAGAUUGGUGGUUUGAACCCACCCCCCGGCU